CCUACGGGUGGCAGCAGUGGGGAAUAUUGCACAAUGGGGGAAACCCUGAUGCAGCGACGCCGCGUGUGUGAGGACGUAUUUCGGGAUGUAAAGCUAUAUCAGCCGGGAAGAAAAUGACGGUAACUGACUAAGGAGCCCCGGCUAACUACGUGCCAGCAGCCGCGGUAAUACGUAGGGGGCAAGCGUUAGCCGGAUUUAAUGGGUGUAAAGGGGGCGUAGACGGGUAAUCAAGUCAGAAGUGAAAACCCAGGGCUCAACUUUGGGACUGCUUUUGAAACUGAGGAGCUAGAGUGCAGGAGAGGUAAGCGGAAUUCCUAGUGUAGCGGUGAAAUGCGUAGAUAUUAGGAGGAACACCAGUGGCGAAGGCGGCUUACUGGACUGUAACUGACGUUGAGGCUCGAAAGUGUGGGGAGCAAACAGGAUUAGAUACCCUUGUAGUC
rnacentral:rRNA from 1 species